rnacentral:rRNA from 1 species
CGUAGGGUGCAAGCGUUAAUCGGAAUUACUGGGCGUAAAGGGUGAGUAGGCGGAUAUACAAGUUAGAUGUGAAAUACCUAGGCUUAACCUGGGAGGUGCAUUUAAUACUGUAUUUCUAGAGUCUGUUAGAGGGGGGUAGAAUUCCAAGUGUAGCAGUGAAAUGCGUAGAGAUUUGGAGGAAUACCGAAGGCGAAGGCAGCCCCCUGGGAUAAGACUGACGCUGAGUCACGAAAGCGUGGGUAGCAAACAGGAUUAGAUACCCUGGUAGUCCACGCCCUAAACGAUGUCUACUUGCUGUUGGGGGUAGAACCUUAGUAGCGAAGCUAACGCGAGAAGUAGACCGCCUGGGGAGUACGGUCGCAAGAUUA